UGGCGCGUCGUCUAAUGGUAGGACAGCAGGCUCUGAACCUGCUUGUGGUGGUUCGAAUCCAUCCGCGCCAG
rnacentral:tRNA from 1 species